UUACUCUCUUUUCACCUUUGUUGUCUGCCUGCCUGUUCGCUUGGUAGACGCACACCAACCAACCUAACCAACUGGACUGCUAAUGCUCGUUCUGCCAGUGCCACUUCCCUUUUAUCGCUUUUCCUCACCGCUCUUUCUCUUCUUACCUUUCUUUCGUUCGACGAUUUUCUCCUCUUUAUUACGUCAAACCUCUGAGUCCAUUUUUCGUCUCUGUGGGUAUAAAAUCGCGUGAUUUCAACCAAGCGUGCGUUUCACGUGUCACGUGCUCCUGCUGUCCUCCUCGCACACCUGCAUUUCGCGUGCGCCCCACUUCAACUUGAACCAAUGAGCUCUGUUCUCUAUACUCUGCAUCUUCAGAUACUACUAUCCUGUUGUUAAACAUGUGUAUUAUAGACGCGCUGUGUUGACAUUUUCUCCAUAUUUAUGACUCUAAUAGGAUUACAACGUACGUCAUUCUAAUAGGAUUAGAAAUGUCUGCUUUAUAAGAUGAAAUGUCAACAUUGAAAGUCGACUUCGAUAGUCAGUUUCGAUUGUCGAGAUCCUCUCGUUCGUAAUAACAGAUUUAUAUCGCAUGUGAAAUUUCGUAAACGUGGUUGGCGUUUUUCGAAGACUAAGUUAUGUAGUUGGUUUCGUUUAGUAGCGUUUGUUACGUUUAUAAGUGUAUUACGGUAACUGUGAAAUAAAUAGCGCGCUACGCGUAAUGUGUCUACCGUGGAAUGUGACUUUGAUCGUGCGGAGAAAGGUAUCCGUGAACUUGUUUUCAUGCGCCGCUGAACCACGUGUUUUGGCAACGGGCACGCGCCCCUGUGUGUUUAGUUGCACGACUUUUUGUUACUCCGCUUCUCUUGUAAGGAGCAUCAUGUAUAUAUAAAAGGCCAUUUAUCUGUCAAUUUUGUUUUGGAGAAAUCGUACGUAACACGUUUUGUGCAGUAUACACCAUAGAUGGAACACAAUCGACUUUCCCGUUAAAUAGUUUCAUACUCGUAUGUAUAACCAUUUGAUAAGUAUAAACACGGUAGUAUAAAAUAUUUCAUAAAAUUAUCGAUUGUGGAUUUUUAUGUACAUACUGUAAAAUUUCGCACUUUCAAAUUUUUUACAAAGAAUAAGAAGCAUAAGAAUCCGCUCUCUAAUCAUCGCUUAAAUAUAUAUCCAUAAUCGUAUAGUAUCAUUUUUAGCAUAUAAGGAAUGCGCUUACACCUAGAAAUCGGUCGCUUGCUAUAGUUAUUGGAUAUGGUUGAGCCCAAAAUAAGAAUAAAUGAUGCUCGUAAUCAGGAAACUGUUCGUCAGAUUGAUUUCUUGAGAUAUUCAUAGAAUUUCUAAAGGUUGAUUUUUAAUAAAUCAUACUGCAACCUGAACGAUGAUGCGGAUAUUGCGAAUGAGUCGUUUGACAUUUACUAGCAGAGAAUGCCUUAUAGAUUAUUGCAAUUGUUUGAGUAACGUUACAACUCUGGCGAUAACGUGGCCGUAUGGCUUCGAUUCCUCCUCCGUUCGAAGCUUUCAAUGAGACCUAAUUCGUCUCGUAUCUCGUUGAGGAUAUUGACCUGUUUACGCAACGCUUCGAUUCGCUCACGAAGACGCAUUUUCCUACCAGAGUUUCGUCUUACGACUAGUAUUUGUUUGUCAUUUUUCCAGUGAUAAUUUACGCUUUUUUCUUAUUUCUCGUUUCAACAUUUCUCGUUCUGUAAUUACUCAUGAAAAAAAAUAUUGCCAAAUCUCAGUUACGUAUUUCCAGACGUCUUAGUCCGAUCUUCAUAAAUUCGGUUACAAGCGAUGAACAGCUGUAAAUAAUUUCGCUAUUCUACCUUUUCAAGAGAAAUUGAACAAUCUGCAGCAACAAGGAAGCGGAUAUCGAACAGUUUGCAACAAAGCGUGAAUUUAUUGCACGUUUGAAAAGCUGCUUGAGUUUUAAUUGGUUUUACUCAAAUCGCCGCACAGUAGAGUUAUUUCUUUAUUGCAGCGGUGCUUUCAAUUGCCAUUGCGUAUAACGACGUAGAUCGCUAAUCUAAUACAUACGUCGAAGCACAAAAGCGUUGUCAACGAGCGUACAACGAAGCCCGAGAAUAUUCUAUUGUACGUUCUAUUGAAAGGUCGCAGGCUUUAACGCAAUGUCGGGAACUUUUGAUUUCGAAAAUGGCGGUAAGGGACCCGACGCUGGCGAAUAACAGGAAGGGUAGGAAGGGAGAAACAGCAACAUUGAUUGCGUUCGCGCCUUUAUGCUGGUUCGCGUGUAUUGGCGCAGCUUCUGCGUAGCGUCAAAGCGGUAACCGUGUGACGCCUAGCUUGUUACUCGAUUCACGGUUCACCUUGCGUUAGCUUUGUGGAAGAAAUCCUCCUCUAACAAAAUUCAAUAUCCACCAAGUGGUGUGUGAACUCGUGUCGCAGAAGGCUAGAUUCGUCAAGCUGCCAUGCGUCACUUUCUGAUGUAACAUCCUUUCUUUCUCGGAAAACUCUUUUCCAGAGUUCCUAUAAUUCGGAAACUUUCUACGCAAUGUUAACAGCGACGAUAUCACAGCGCGACAUGCGGUAGACGAAGAUGGAAAUAAUUGUUGUUUGAUGUCAACUUUUUAAAUCUUCGAUUAAAUCAUCAGUCUUAAAAUCUAGUCGUAAUCGCGACUCGAUUGAAGAGCGAAUUUCUCUUUUAUUCCACAAAAAUGUGUAAAGUUACACAAAAACUCCGUUCAUCGCUAAAUGCACAAAAACUGACGAAAUGGAAAGCAGGAUAAAUGGUUUCUGCAUGAUAUUUACGAAAAAAUGGAGAGAUCGUUCCCGGCAUUGGCACUAUUUGGUUAAACAUCACCGUGUAUGGUUAGACAAAAAGAGAAAAUGAUAUUUAAACCGAGCCAGGAAGUAGGGAAAAUAUUAAAACAAACGUAUCAGGUUUCAGGAAAACUGCAGAUUAUAUAUAUUUUUUGAUCCUUGUUCCGAAUCCUCAUUUAAAUGCCGCACCGUGAGAACAUUGGCUGUGCACCUGGCCUGCAAACGCGCGUACCUGGUUUGUGAACGUGCUAACGUAGCCAGCGAAUUUUGAUCUUUUUCCUGAAUGCUCAUUCAAACGUCGCAGUAAACGUCGUAGUAAACAUUAAAUCCUUAUUUUCAGUGUUAAAUUGCUUUAUCGCAUUUACGUGGAAAGCUUAAUUGUGAAAAUUUUAAUUAGGUUUUUAUUAUAUUUCUUGGGCUAAUACUUUUUUUUAUUAUCAUUCAACUCUUAUUUACCUUCGUCUAUGUAGAUAUUAUGGUAAAAGUGCAGUUUCACUUUGGAGAUUGAAAAUGUUUAAUAUAAAGUAAUACAAGGUAUAAUUUUUAAUCUGCUAGAAAGCUAAGCCCCUGUUUCAUAAUUUUUCUACCAGCUCCUUGAUUAAAUAUUAUUUCUUGUAAUUUGCAACAUCCAGCGUUACACGUUAUAAUGGUGCAUUUAUACCAACCAAGCAAAUGCUCCUUCUUUGUUCGCUUUUGUAAAAUUUAGUAAAAUUUACUAAAAUACAGUGUGUAUAUAUAUAUAACAAAUACAUUGGUGUAUAAAUACCUUUUGUAGCCGCUGUAUAUUAAAUGUAGAUAAAAAGCGAUUGUGCGUGUGCCUGUAAAGGCUUAAAUUUAUAAUAAAAAAGUACGUUUAAUAAACUAUUAACUGAGAAA